UUUAACGGCCGCGGUAUCAUAACCGUGCGAAGGUAGCAUAAUAAAUUGUUCUCUAAAUAGGGACUAGUAUGAAAGGCACCACGAGGGCUUAACUGUCUCCCUUUUCCAAUUAAUGAAACUGAUCUUCUCGUGAAGAAGCGAGAAUAAAAAUAUAAGACGAGAAGACCCCAUGGAGCUUUAAACUCAUCAUCAUUUACUCUUUACCACACCACUACAUAUAGUAAAAUUGUUACCUGAGAGUUUUCGGCUGGGGUGACCCUGGAGCAAAACAAAUCCUCCAGGAUGAACGGAAUAAAAUCCUAAUCAAAGAGCUACAACUCUAAGAAUCAAAAUAUUGACAUAUUUGAUCCAAUUACUUGAUCAACGAACCAAGUUACCCUGGGGAUAACAGCGCAAUCCAUUUCAAGAGCCCCUAUCGACAAAUGGGUUUACGACCUCGAUGUUGGAUCGGGGUAUCCCAGUGGCGCAGCCGCUACUAAAGGUUCGUUUGUUCAACGAUUAAUA
rnacentral:rRNA from 1 species